AGUGAACGCUGGCGGUAGGCCUAACACAUGCAAGUCGAACGGCAGCACAGUAAGAGCUUGCUCUUACGGGUGGCGAGUGGCGGACGGGUGAGGAAUACAUCGGAAUCUACUUUUUCGUGGGGGAUAACGUAGGGAAACUUACGCUAAUACCGCAUACGACCUACGGGUGAAAGCAGGGGAUCUUCGCACCUUGCGCGAUUGAAUGAGCCGAUGUCGGAGUAGCUAGUUGGCGGGGUAAAGGCCCACCAAGGCGACGAUCCGUAGCUGGUCUGAGAGGAUGAUCAGCCACACUGGAACUGAGACACGGUCCAGACUCCUACGGGAGGCAGCAGUGGGGAAUAUUGGACAAAGGGCGCAAGCCGGAUCCAGCCAUACCGCGUGGGUGAAGAAGGCCGUCGGGUUGUAAAGCCCUUUUGUUGGGAAAGAAAAGCAGCAGGUUAAUACCCCGCUGUUCUGACGGUACCCAAAGAAUAAGCACCGGCUAACUUCGUG
rnacentral:rRNA from 1 species